AUGGCUCAGGACGAACGCUGGCGGCGUGCCUAAUCCAUGCAAGUAGAACGCUGAAGGAGGAGCUUACUUCUCUGGAUGAGUUGCGAACGGGUGAGUAACGCGUAGGUAACCUGCCUGGUAGCGGGGGAUAACGAUUGGAAACGAUAGCUAAUACCGCAUAAGAGUAGAUGUUGCAUGACAUUUACUUAAAAGGUGCAAUUGCACCACUACCAGAUGGACCUGUGUUGUAUUAGCUAGUUGGUGGGGUAACGGCUUACCAAGGCUACGAUACAUAGCCGACCUGAGAGGGUGAUCGGCCACACUGGGACUGAGACACGGCCCAGACUCCUACGG
rnacentral:rRNA from 1 species